GGCAAAAGCUCAAAUUUGAAAUCCAGUACCUUCGGUGCUCGAGUUGUAAUUUGAAGAUGGCGACUUUGGGAGUGGCCUUUAUCUAUGUUCCUUGGAACAGGACGUCACAGAGGGUGAGAAUCCCGUCUGAUGAGGUGAUCCACUCCUUUGUAAAGUGCUAUCGAAGAGUCGAGUUGUUUGGGAAUGCAGCUCUAAGUGGGUGGUAAAUUCCAUCUAAAGCUAAAUAUUGGCGAGAGACCGAUAGCGAACAAGUACAGUGAUGGAAAGAUGAAAAGAACUUUGAAAAGAGAGUGAAAAAGUACGUGAAAUUGUUGAAAGGGAAGGGUAUUAGAUCAGACUUGGCGUUGUGUGAUUAUCUUUCCCUCGUGGGGAGUGCACUCGUGCUUCGCUGGGCCAGCAUCGAUUCGUGUGGCCGGAUAAUAGCAUUGGAACGUGGCUGGGCCUUGUGUGCAGUGUUUAUAGCCUUUGCCGAUACGGCCUGCGUGGAUCGAGGACUGCGUCGCUUUUUGCGACUAGGAUGCUGGCGUAAUGAUCUAAUAUCGCCCGUCUUGAAACACGGACCAAGGAGUCUAACGUCUAUGCGAGUGUUUGGGUGUGAAACCCGUACGCGUAAUGAAAGUGAACGUAGGUGAGAAUCUUCGGAUGUAUCAUCGACCGAUCCUGAUGUCUUCGGAUGGAUUUGAGUAAGAGCAUAGCUGUUGGGAC
rnacentral:rRNA from 2 species